GGACUACUUCCUGUAAACACACAGUCCAGUUCAAAGUGAAUGAGGUCAGGGUCUACUUCCUGUAAACACACAGUCCAGUUCAAAGUGAAUGAGGUCAGGGUCUACUUCCUGUAAACACACAGUCCAGUUCAAAGUGAAUGAGGUCAGGGUCUACUUCCUGUAAACACACAGUCCAGUUCAAAGUGAAUGAGGUCAGGGUCUACUUCCUGUAAACACACAGUCCAGUUCAAAGUGAAUGAGGUCAGGGUCUACUUCCUGUAAACACACACAGUCCAGUUCAAAGUGAAUGAGGUCAGGGUCUACUUCCUGUAAACACACAGUCCAGUUCAAAGUGAAUGAGGUCAGGGUCUACUUCCUGUAAACACACAGUCCAGUUCAAAGUGAAUGAGGUCAGGGUCUACUUCCUGUAAACACACAGUCCAGUUCAGUGAAUGAUGGAAGGUCUGUGUGGCAAAUGGCUUGUUUAUAUACUGGGAAAAGUAUAUAAACACAACAUGCAACAGUACAUAUAAGGAAAUCAGUCGAUUAAAUACAAUUCAUUAGGCCCUAAGCUACGGGAUUUCACACGACUAGGUAGGGUUUCAGCCAUGGGUGGGCCUUGGAGGGCAUAGGCCCACCGACUUGGCAGCCAGGCCCAUCCACUGGGGAGCCAGGCCCAGCCAAUCAGAAUGAGUUUGGUUUCCCCCUCGGUCUUGGACAAGACAGAUAUUUUGAUUAGGUUUUAUUUACUGCAGUGUCUAUUAGUUGUCUAUUAAACGCACUGCCACUUUCACACUCUAUAUUGCUAUAGAAUUUUCACAUUGCCUUAGUAUACCCUUCCAGCCAUUACAAUGAGCCUGUCCUCCUGUACCUCCGCCCACCAGCCUCCGCUGAUAUCCCGCUGCAUCCAGCCUGAUCUCAGAUCUGUGCUUCUACACCUGCAUUGCUUGCUGUUUGGGGUUUUAGGCUGGGUUUCUGUACAGCACUUUGAGAUAUCAGCUGAUGUACGAAGGGCUAUAUAAAUACAUUUGAUUUGAUUUGAUUUGUGCUGUCUUGCCAGAUAGACUGCAAUAAGAUCUAGGUUCAGGCUAAUAUGGUCUCGACCUUUGAACUCUAAACGUACUUCCAUUGUAUUUUCUUAUUUAGAGCACCUUUUUUGAAACUCUGCCUUUGGGUAACUGAAUGAUCACAA